rnacentral:rRNA from 1 species
GAUGAACGCUGGCGGCGUGCCUAAUACAUGCAAGUCGAGCGAACAGACGAGGAGCUUGCUCCUCUGACGUUAGCGGCGGACGGGUGAGUAACACGUGGAUAACCUACCUAUAAGACUGGGAUAACUUCGGGAAACCGGAGCUAAUGCCGGAUAAUAUAUUGAACCGCAUGGUUCAAUAGUGAAAGACGGUUUUGCUGUCACUUAUAGAUGGAACCGCGCCGCAUUAGCUAGUUGGUAAGGUAACGGCUUACCAAGGCAACGAUGCGUAGCCGACCUGAGAGGGUGACCGGCCACACUGGAACUGAGACACGGUCCAGACUCCUACGGGAGGCAGCAGUAGGGAAUCUUCCGCAAUGGGCGAAAGCUUGACGGAGCAACGCCGCGUGAGUGAUGAAGGUCUUCGGAUCGUAAAACUCUGUUAUUAGGGAAGAACAAAUGUGUAAGUAACUAUGCACGUCUUGACGGUACCUAAUCAGAAAGCCACGGCUAACUACGUG